CUGUGCUCCUCACCGCGCGACCUGACAAAGAGCAAAUGCAUGAGAAAUAUGGCAAGCCGUUUUAAUAUCCAACUAAUAAGAAUCUUUUUUUUUUUUUCUUGUUACGAGUAAUUUAACAAACAAAGCCAUUGAGCUUGGGGCGACCCGAGUUCGAGUCCCGGCUCGAGGACCUUUCCCGAUCUCACUCCGCUCUCUCAUAAUAAAGGACCUCUGUAUAGUUUAUCCUCAUCUCACUCACCAGCUUAAGAAAAUCAAUGAGUUUAUAGGCAUCUUCCCCUGUGGUCAGGUCCAUGAAGUCUCGUGGGAUUCUGUAGGACAGACAUGGGCUGGGCUGAACCGUGACC